GGUGACUUCCGUCUCCGCCAUGGCCCGUACGAAGCAGACCGCCCGCAAGUCCACCGGCGGCAAGGCCCCGCGCAAGCAGCUGGCCACCAAGGCCGCCCGCAAGAGCGCCCCGGCCACGGGCGGCGUGAAGAAGCCGCACCGCUACCGGCCCGGCACCGUGGCGCUGCGGGAGAUCCGGCGCUACCAGAAGUCGACCGAGCUGCUGAUCCGCAAGCUGCCGUUCCAGCGCCUGGUGCGCGAGAUCGCGCAGGACUUCAAGACGGACCUGCGCUUCCAGAGCUCGGCCGUCAUGGCGCUGCAGGAGGCGAGCGAGGCCUACCUGGUGGGUCUGUUCGAGGACACCAACCUGUGCGCCAUCCACGCCAAGCGCGUCACCAUCAUGCCCAAGGACAUCCAGUUGGCCCGUCGCAUCCGCGGGGAGCGCGCUUGAGCUCUCUAUCUUCUCCCUGUCCCCCACAAAGGCUCUUUUCAGAGCCACACUACACCUUCCCGGAAAGAGCUGUUUGACUUUAGUUUCCUCUGCUCCCCUGUGAGUUACUGUGUAAUGAAACUUUUUCUCAUGAACACCUUCCUAGGAAAGUUGCAGGAUCCCAAGUG
rnacentral:lncRNA from 1 species